rnacentral:rRNA from 1 species
GAGUUUAAUCUUGGCUCAGAGUGAACGCUGGCGGCAGGCCUAACACAUGCAAGUCGAGCGGCAGCGCGGGGCAACCUGGCGGCGAGCGGCGGACGGGUGAGGAAUACAUCGGAAUCUACCCAGUCGUGGGGGAUAACGUAGGGAAACUUACGCUAAUACCGCAUACGACCUGAGGGUGAAAGCAGGGGACCGCAAGGCCUUGCGCGAUUGGAUGAGCCGAUGUCCGAUUAGCUAGUUGGUGAGGUAAAGGCUCACCAAGGCGACGAUCGGUAGCUGGUCUGAGAGGAUGAUCAGCCACACUGGAACUGAGACACGGUCCAGACUCCUACGGGAGGCAGCAGUGGGGAAUAUUGGACAAUGGGCGCAAGCCUGAUCCAGCCAUGCCGCGUGUGUGAAGAAGGCCUUCGGUUGUAAG